ACUAUUUCUCCAAGCGUAUGAGGAGUCUAUUCACCUUUGUUUGGCUACUAUAGGCUCUCCUUCUCAACUCCUACUCAAUACGUCCACGGUGUGCAGAACAGUAACUUCUCGCCUAGAUAGCCAAGUUUGGGUACACGGGGAAACCCACCCCUUUGGGCAGAUGGGCGGCAAGGCUGAAUUGAGAGGG
rnacentral:ribozyme from 1 species